rnacentral:sRNA from 1 species
AUGGAGGAUAUUAAUGCACAAAAUGGUUCUCAACGGUUCUGUAAGUGCAAAGAGUGCAAGGGAUCUUGGAUCUCAAAGCGUGCCUUUUAUGAUCAUCAGAUUAAGUUGACUAACAGCUUUAAAUGUGCUUGUAUACCCAAGUUUGACUGGAAUACUGAAAUUUUCGAAGAUGAAAAGUACACACAACCGCUGUUCCAGGGGUCAGAAACCAGUGUUUUGGAGGCCAUCACCAGACACAUGUACAUAUUCUCUAUGAACUAUGGAAUGUCAAAGACUGCCCUUAACGACUCUCUUCAGUGUGAGAAAGCAUCCUUACCUCAGCCAAACAUUCUACCUGCAUCGUACAAAGAGGCCAAAUCUUUUAUUUCUCCUCUCCUGAUGCCAGUUGAAAAAUGUGUCCGAAAAGGUGUGCUGGAUGACUUCACAGACGGCAAACUAUUUCAUUCAUGGUUCGAACCUGGACAAAUAUUUGGGGGAAAAGACAGAGAGUUGUGUGUGCCCCUCUCACUGUUCACUGACGGAGUAAAUCCUAACAGGGAUAUUGUGUGUCAAAAAUCAAUGUGGCCAGUCAUUCUGACCUGGAUUACGCUGCCCCAGUCAGUUAGACAGCUCCUUGGUCCAAUGCUGCUGAUGGGAAUUAUGCCUAGUGGUAAAAAAGGUUCUGAGCCCAAAUCUUUGGAUCCUUAUCUCUCCAUUUUAGUUGAUGAGUUGCUGAGCCUCACCGAAUUUCCUGUAUAUGACUCCUAUCGAUCAGCUCCGAUUAACAUAAAAGUUGCUUUACUUCAGUACUUAUGUGACAUUCCAGCUUACUCCAAAGUGAUGCAUUUGUCAGGACAUGGUGGCCUUAGAUCUUGCCCUUACUGUAGAGAAGUGGGACACUAUUGUAAACAUUUAUGUAAAACUAUACAUAUGUCCAACAGACAGUUCCUUCCUCUUGACCAUGACCUAAGGCAAUGUGUUGGAUUUGCGAAUGGAGAGAAAGAAGAAAGAAGAACUCCAACACCAUACACUUUGGAAGAAGAACAUGCAUUCCGUAGGCAGUAUGAAGAAAAACCAAACAAUUCUCAGAGGGCAAAACAGCAAAAACAGACUGAAGUGAAAGGAAAGUACGUAUUGCAGCAACUUCCAUAUCACAAUAGGAUGCAGCAGAUGUCACCUGAUGGAAUGCAUACCAUAGCUGACUUCAUAAGCCAUGUAAUUGAUAUGCUAGGUGGCAAACAAAACACCAUAAAAUUAAAAGCAUGUGAAAACGCAUUCAGUCGCUUUGAAGAGGUUUGGCCAAGUGAAGAAGUACAUGAAGAGGGUCAACCAGACAAACACAGUGUUCAACCAAAGAAGAAAAGGAAAAGAGACGAUAACAAGGAAGUGUCAAAUUUGUCCACAAGUAGCACCCCAUGGUCACUUUCUAAAGAACAACUGUCCAUUGCAAAUGAAAGAGCAUCCAGUAUAGUGUACACCAACUUGCAAGAAAUCACCCCUGGACCACAUUUCACAAAACCUUGGACACUAAGAACAAUGAAUUCUAAACUGCAGUUUGUGACUUCAGGAGCCUUUGAGUGGUGCAUUAAAGGUCUACUUCCUCCUCAGCAGGAGACCACACUGAGUAAGCUGUGUAAUGUGAUCAAGAGAAUCACGUCUCCUCAACUCUUCAUUGCUGACCUUCCAAGUCUUCAAGCAGAUACCCAUGAGGCACUUGCAUUGUUUGAAAGAGAUUUUCCACUCUCUAUGCAGAAUCUUACCACACACCUCAUCCACCACAUUGUUGAUGACCUUUCACGCUAUGGACCCAUGCAUGGUCGAUGGUUGUUCCCGUAUGAGAGAGCAAAUGCAUGGAUCACAAGACAAUGCUUAAGAAAAGGAAUGGAGGAAUCAACAGUCAUGGAAACAUAUGUGGUUUAUGACUGGUGUGUAUUUAUGAUUCUGAGUGGAAGGUUUGACCCAAGCAAAUUGUUCAACAGUGAUAAGACCUUAGUGAGGGUUAGUCAGCACAUUAUGGAUAACAUCAAGGAAGGACUAAACAUCACUGCAACCGCAAACGACAAUAACAACAAGAUGAGAGUUUCGCUUCUUACGCAGGAAAUGGAAUCAUAUAUGAAUUUAAAACUUUCCACAAUUUAUGGAUUUUCGAAAACAGUGGCAGAAAAUCACAGCACCCUUGACAUUACAGAUGAUGGUGGAAGAAGACUGAGUUACAUUGGAGAGAACUACAGAGGCAAAAAACCACCCUCGUUGGUCAAGAUUCCGGGGAACAGUGAACUUCAUUAUGGACAAGUGUCUUUUUUUUUAAACAUUUUGUGUGCAGGAAAGAAGAACAUUGGCUUGUUAUUGACAUGUAUCCAAUUGCCGAAAGAAAUGAAAAAUACCAUGUUGUUCAGGGAAAGAUAAUUGGAAAGAAACUUUUUCAUGCCAGUGUUGUUAGUAAACCACUAGUUUAUGUGAAAGAUGGGGACUCGCUGUGGAUUCUAAAUGCUUAAUUGAUGACACA